rnacentral:rRNA from 1 species
AUGGACAUUCAAACCUUCCUACACAUUUCUACAUUAUGGGCCUGGAUGGCUUCUGAGCGGUUGAAUGGUGUGCCACUUAUAUACUCCCUCCGCUCGGAAUUACUUGUCUCGGAAAUGGAUGUAUCUAGACGUAUUUUAGUUCUAGAUACAUCCAUUUUCGCGACAAGUAAUUCCGAACGGAGGGAGUUAAGCUAUGAUGGUUUGGUCAGACCACUGCAUCCUGAUGACAAUUACUCAAUUAUGUCAACUGAACUUGCAUGCCACAUUCAUCAUGCCAGGUCGUAUGCGUCGGACUAUAGUGCCAGUCUGUUGGGUUUCCAUGUCAAUAAAAAAUAA